rnacentral:rRNA from 1 species
UACAGAGGUCCCAAGCGUUGUUCGGAUUUACUGGGCGUAAAGGGUGCGUAGGCGGUCGGGUAAGUCUGAUGUGAAAUCUCCGAGCUUAACUCGGAAAUGGCAUUGGAUACUAUUCGGCUGGAGAGUUGGAGGGGGGACUGGAAUACUUGGUGUAGCAGUGAAGUGCGUAGAUAUCAAGUGGAACACCAGUGGCGAAGGCGAGUCCCUGGACAACUUCUGACGCUGAGGCACGAAAGCUAGGGGAGCAAACAGG